rnacentral:lncRNA from 1 species
ACCACACCACGUUUCAUAUAAUUGGAAAAAUCUUAGGGGAAGUUCUGGGCCUGCUACAGAGUUGUUCAGCUUCUGGAACCUUCCUGCCUCUGCUUCUGUGGCCUCAGCCCUCCUUACUUAGAAAACAGACUCCACAUAUAAGCAGCAAAAAAGAAAGGAAAUGCAUAGCCUUGUGUGGCACUUGCCUUGGUGAUCCUCCUCUCUUCCCCUCGCUCUCAGCAGACCCCAAGUCUGACUUCCCAGAGGGCACACAAACCACCAUGUUCCCACCCCCUAAGUUACCAACAUACGUGCAAUGAACCUUUCCUUGGAUCUCUAGCAACUCUGCUGAAAUGGAUUUUGUCAAGGCCAACCAAGGUCAGCCAUGCCCUUGCUCCUGAACUCCAUGAUCCUUCCUACUUUCUGAACUUCUCUUCCUUUAGUUUUUUAUAAGGGAGGGUUUUCCAUCUAGUUAUCCAUGUAUUCUCAGUCCCCAGUACAUCCAUCCUCCCAGCCCUUCCAAAUUUCUCUUCCUCAGAACAACUCCCUCAUCUUCCUUCUCUUCUCAGUCUGUGUAUUCUGCCUGGGGGAUUACACUUUCUUUUACAGCCUUUACCAUCUCUACACUAAUGAAUCUCCAGGCUAGAUUCCUCUUCUAAAUGCCAGAUUUUUAUAUUCUAAUGCCAAUUACUCCAUUUAAAAACCUGUCUGUAUUUCCUUCCACCCCCAAACCUAUUUGCCCCAGUCCUGCUGGCACCUCCAUGAAUACCACCACCAUCCUCCAGGUGCAGAGGCCAAACCCAAAAGCCAUUCACAGCUUUCCCUCCCUCACCCCCAUCUAACAUCUAAGUCCUAUUGCUUAUGUCUCCUAAAUAUCUUCAGAAUCCACGGACUCCCUUCUGCCAUGUCCCCAGUAUUGCCUGCAUGUGGUUGCAGCAGCCUCCUCCUGCUCCAGCGGUAGCCCUCUCUACUGCGGGCAGGGUCCCAGCAGAUGGCACAUGGCGUGGGUACUUGAAGAAUCCCUGUUUACAAAGGUUCUUGCAGAGUUAAUGAAGCCAACAAAGAUGGAGAGUCACCAUGGGGCUAGCAACAGUGGGAAGCCUUAGGCACCUGAACCUGAAGGGAGCUGUUAUUAUUACAUGUAACUCAGAAAGAAAACCGUGGCUAGGAGAAAGGUCUGCCAGGCAGGACUGUGGCUCACAGCAGGGGAACAGAGCCAUUGCCAAUCUGAAGCCAUGGCAGGGAGGGAGCUGGGGAAAAGAUACCCCGAUUUCUCUCUCCUCCCACCCUCUUAUCUCCUGCUCCUGCCUCCUAUGGGCUGAAACUGCCUGGAAACCAGAGGGCAGAUCAACCUGUUAAGCAGUCUAAGAAACAUCAGCUUACUGGUGCUCAGAGAAGAAUGAAGACAAGUAGCAAGUGAGUCUGUAGGGGCAAAUGAAGAAUCCCUGGCACGUCCUCUCUAACUCAGUUUCCAUACUUCAGCUUAAGCAGCUUAAGUAACUUUUCUCUUUUUUACUUUCUUUCUUUCCUUUUUUUUUUUUUUUUUUUUUUUGAGAUGGAGUUUCACUCUUGUUGCCCAGGCUGGAGUGCAAUGGUGCGAUCUUGGCUCACUGCAACCUCUGCCUCCUGGGUUCAAGCAAUUCUCCUGCCUCAGCCUCCUGAGUAGCUGGGAUUACAGGCGCCCGUUACCACGCCUGGCUAAUUUUUGUAUUUUUAGUAGAGACAGGGUUUCUCCACGUUGGCCAGGCUGGUCUCGAACUCCUGACCUCAGGCGAUCAACCCACCUCGGCCUCCCAAAGUGCUGGGAUUACAGGCAUGAGCCAAUGGGCCUGGCCUUAAGUAACUUUUCUAUAGCACAAAUCUGAUUUUGUCAUCCCUUUCUUAAAAGUAUUCAAUGGCUCCACGAUGCCCCAGGAUGAUGUGAACCUCUUAAUGCCAUCCCUGCACAGUGUGGCUGCCUAAAUCUCCAGGCAGGCACCCCGCCGUCUCCAUCAGUGCCCAUAUCCCGGGCCCUGAUUGCCCUUCCUCACUGUCCACUCCAGCCAUUCCGAACUGAUGGGCAAUGCACUGUCUGGUAUCUACACCCCUUUGCAAGCCAAAUUCUUCCAUCCAUCAGUUCUCACUUUAGUUGUGGCCUCUUUCAGGCAGCCUUUUCUAACCACCCAAGUUGGGGCAAGUGCCUCUCCUGUGAUGUGGCGCUCUCUCCUCAUUCCUAUUACAGCACACUGUAUUCACUCAUAACAUGCUAUUGUUUCUAUCUAUUUCCUGUCUAUGUCCCCCACAGAUGGAAACAUACCGAAAGUCAACACUGAGUCUCAUCUGCUGUGACAGCACCCAAUAGAUAUUUGCUGAAUCAAUGAGUGAACCUCACGAAAAACCCUGUGACAUUGAUAUUCAUCUCUCAUUUUUAUAACUGAGGACACUGGGAUCUGGAGAUGUUUAGUGAUUUUUCCAAAGUCACAAAACUGGCUCUAGACAAAGUCCAGAUUAAUGAAUCCAUGUUUUCUAAUUCUUUGACAGGUACCUGUUCUACCUCCCUGGGCUGCCUGCCAAGGAUGCCCUUGGUCUGCCAGAAAAAAAGUAUUGCUGCUUUGCCCUGAUACACACAGAAGUCUAGAUUCCAUUCAUACCAAUAUCGGUCCUUCCUCCCCCAUGAAGCAUGUGAGAUGCUCUCUCUCCAUCGCCAAGUUUCUUCUUUCUGCUGGUUUCUCUGGCAAAAAGGCAAGAGGCAAGAACUGAUGUGGGAAACAGUGGCAGAGAGUUAGAGAAAGCAGCAAAGACUACAAGACUUCAGAGUCACAGCUGGCUACAAACCCACCCCCUGCACCCAGUACCACUAGCUGGAGACACUGGAAGAUGCUCUUGUUAUUCUCGGAUCACCGCCUACCCCCAAAACCCAUCCUCCCUGCUGCCUUACCUGAGAAGUUGAACCCCAGAGACAGAAAGGAUCACCUGCACUCCUUGUACUGGGCCUUCCCAUCGGCCAACGUGUGGCAUGAACGAGGCUGCAUCCCUCUUCCAUAGCACCUGCACUCGUAGGCUCUGCAAAUUUCAUCCCCACCUUUGGCCCUUCAGGCCUAGGGCAAGUCACAGCUCCCCAGAACUGUUCAUCCCCAGGUGUCUCGCCAUCCCUAGAUAGCACCUGUAAGCCUGACUACACCUCUGUAAAGCGUGCCCUUCAUUAAAUUUUCUUCUGUUAAACCCUUUGGAGUGGGUCUUGGUUUUCCUGCCAGAACCAUGACUGACAUGGACAGUUACUUAACCUCUCUGAGUAUUGACUUCUUUGCCUCUAAAAUGAGGAUGAAAAUAUUUACUUGGCAAGGUUAUGGCAAAGGUUAUGUGAGAUGACCUCUAUGGAGCAUCCAUUAUGUGUCUGGCACUAUACGAUGCAUUUUACAUGCAUGAAUUCUCC